GGCCACGCCCAUCUAUCUCGUGACUUUCUAACAUCUCUUUUGUCUGCCUUUUCAGAAGCACUGGAUAUUAUCACCACAUUGUUGAAGGAGGGCAUAUAAAAGCAAAGUAUAUUAUCCCAGGUAAAUGACAUUCAUUCUGAAGAAAAAAGAGGAAGAAGUGGAGGAGGAGGAGAAGGAAAAUGGGAGAGGAAGAAGAAAGGAAGGAAGUUGAAAUUGCAGAGUAACCAACUCACUUGAAAUCUAAGAAAAGAUAAGCACUUUCAAGGACAUUUCUCACUUCCUCGGAAUAAGGCAGCUGGACAGCAGGAAGACCAAUUCAACUGACAUUGUUAACAAUGUUUGAAACUUUAAGAAUGUUUGAAAAGACCAAGUAUGGAAAAGGAAAACAAUAAAGCUCC
rnacentral:lncRNA from 1 species